GAGGAAACCGGACUAAUCCCAACAAGGCCUAGUUUCCCCUCUGGGUUGGAAGGUCAGAUGGCAGUCGCUUUCGUAAAAACUAUGCCUACGCCAAUUCUUGGGAUUAGUUGUCAAGCGGACCCCAGGCUCCCAUGAGCCGUGGCAAAAUGCCGGGACAACGCGAGGAA